rnacentral:rRNA from 1 species
CCAAGGGUUUGGCUGUUCGCCAAUUAAAAAGUUACGCGAGCUGGGUUCAGACCGUCGAGAAGCGAAGCUUCUCGACAAAUAACAAGUAAAAAGUCUUGUUUCGCGAUUCGACAGUCUGAAUCAAAACAAAACAUAGAGUUUUUUCGUCUAUGAAAAAGAAAAGAAACCAACCACACGGCGGUCCGUGAAAAGUAAUUUUCACGAGAAAAAGUCAACUUAUAUCGGUAGAAUCCUAUCAUUUUUUUGAGGACAAUACCGAGGGAAAACUGAGUUAAAAGUUGAAAGUUCAUAAAGUUUAUAAAGUAUUAAAAAUCGCACGACGAUUUUCAAAAAACUUUUAACUUUAGAAACUUUAAAAACUUUAUAAACUCUUUUGCCCGUAGAGACUAAAUGUUGACCUCUGAUUUUUUAAAAAAUCAGACGAAGUUAUAGUCCGAUCCCGUUAGUAAUAACGGUGUUGAAAACUAUUAGUCACAAGCUAAGAGUUAUCAGCUACAUAUUGCGUGAGACAGGUUGGUCUCCUAUCUGCUGCAGGCGUUGAUUCUUGAGAAGAUUUGCUCCUAGUACGAGAGGACCGGAGUGAACUAACCUCUGGUGUACCAGCUGUUCCGCCAGGAGCACCGCUGGGUAGCUAUGUUGGGAAUGGAUAACCUCUGAAAGCAUCUAAGAGGGAAGCCAACUUCAAGAUUAGGAAUCGUUUAAGAUCCCUGAGAGAUGAUCAGGUGAUAGGCUCUAGGUGUAAGCACAGUAAUGUGUUCAGCCGAGGAGUACUAAUGCAUCGAGA